UACGGAGGGUGCAAGCGUUAUCCGGAUUCACUGGGUUUAAAGGGUGCGUAGGAGGGCAGGUAAGUCAGUGGUGAAAUCUCCAAGCUUAACUUGGAACUGCCGUUGAUACUAUCUGUCUUGAAUAUUGUGGAGGUGAGCGGAAUAUGUCAUGUAGCGGUGAAAUGCUUAGAUAUGACAUAGAACACCAAUUGCGAAAGGCAGCUCACUACACAAUCAUUGACUCUGAGGCACGAAAAGCGUGGGGGAUCAAACAGG
rnacentral:rRNA from 1 species